rnacentral:rRNA from 1 species
UACGUAGGCAGCAAACGUUGUUCGGAGUUACUGGGCGUAAAGAGUGCGUAGGCGGUCCGCUAAGUCUGGUGUGAAAUCUCCCGGCUCAACUGGGAGGGUGCGCUAGAUACUGGCGGGCUUGAGUGUGGGAGAGGGAAGCGGAAUUCCUGGUGUAGCGGUGAAAUGCGUAGAUAUCAGGAGGAACACCGGCGGUGUAGACGGCUUCCUGGACCACUCCUGACGCUGAGGCACGAAAGCGUGGGGAGCAAACAGG